rnacentral:tRNA from 1 species
AGUUGGGUGGCGAAGUGGUAACGCGCCUCACUGUUAAUGAGGUUAUCGUGGGUUCGAGCCCCACCCCAACUGC